GCACAAGCGGUGGAGCAUGUGGUUUAAUUCGACGCAACGCGCAGAACCUUACCAGGCCUUGACAUCCCGUGCUAAGCCCAGAGAUGGGUGGUCCCCGCAAGGGGCGCGGAGACAGGUGCUGCAUGGCUGUCGUCAGCUCGUGUCGUGAGAUGUUGGGUUAAGUCCCGCAACGAGCGCAACCCUCGCCUUUAGUUGCCAUCAUUUGGUUGGGCACUCUAAAGGGACCGCCGGCGACAAGCCGGAGGAAGGUGGGGAUGACGUCAAGUCCUCAUGGCCCUUACGGCCUGGGCUACACACGUGCUACAAUGGCGGUGACAGUGGGCAGCGACCACGCGAGUGGAUGCGAAUCCCAAAAAACCGUCCCAGUUCAGAUUGCACUCUGCAACUCGGGUGCAUGAAGGUGGAAUCGCUAGUAAUCGCAGAUCAGCAUUGCUGCGGUGAAUACGUUCCCGGGC
rnacentral:rRNA from 1 species